CAUUUUGUUUUCUAACCUACUUGGUGUUGCUUGGCAACAAUUUGUAGGAACCAGCUGAGCAUCAAUUCAAGGCAAUCCUACUGAACCUCAGCAGCCAUAUAUGGUCUAGAGUCGGCCAUGAUGCAAUUGUAGACAGAGCAGCAGAUGCCCUCGUUGUCGUACGAUGCCUACUUCUACGUGUGUCUAUGGUUUAGCUGGUUAAAAACGCUACCAGUGAGCAUGGGGUUGAGAUCCUGGAGUAUAUAUGCAGAGUGCAAUGCUUGUUUCUGGCUUUGUAGCUGUUGGAUGGCAUGUUCUAUUGACCUGGACACCUGCAACAUUUACCAUACUCGGCAAUGAUUUUUUACAUGUUCAACAUGUACAAGAGUAAAAUAGGCUCUCAGGUGUUAUGAUGUUUGGUGUUGUGAAGAACAUGCAUGAGAUGCAAAACGAAACCAUCCGUUGGAGGCUGGAGAGUGCAAACGACAAGAGUGUUGACAUCAUUUUACAAGGCCAUUAGUGAGCGUGUAUUGUAACCCAAGGACAUGGGACAAUGGUCCAGGUUGUUUCCAGCUGCAUUUUUGCUAGUCAGUGCGGUCCAAUAAGUGCUGCUUUGUGGUAUCAAUUGUGUUACUAAGUGACAGGUAACUGAGCCGAGCUUGUUCAACUAGUGGUAGUCAGAUCCGGAGGUGAAGGGAAGUAGUUGAGAUGGAGUUCGCUAUGGCUGCCAGAUGGGCAUGCUUCAAGUGAUGUUGUCUUUUAGGCACAAGUGCUGUGUAGACUAGAGUCGGCAUGUAGAAUGUGUAAUACUUGUUUCCUUCUUGGUGCCAUUGAGGUCUUAGAUUUGGAGCAUCUUCAAUUGAUUCUUGCACCAUUUCAUCUUUGAUUUACCUCAGCUCGACUGGAACUUGUUUCCUUGCAAUGUUGUUGUAAUAAAUCAAGUGUUUCU